UACGUAGGGUGCGAGCGUUGUCCGGAAUUAUUGGGCGUAAAGAGCUUGUAGGCGGUUUGUCGCGUCUGCUGUGAAAAUCCGGGGCUCAACUCCGGACUUGCAGUGGGUACGGGCAGGCUAGAGUGUGGUAGGGGAGACUGGAAUUCCUGGUGUAGCGGUGGAAUGCGCAGAUAUCAGGAGGAACACCGAUGGCGAAGGCAGGUCUCUGGGCCACCACUGACGCUGAGAAGCGAAAGCAUGGGGAGCGAACAGG
rnacentral:rRNA from 1 species